GAUGAAGAACUUAGUAAAAUGCGAUACUUGGUGUGAAUUGCAGAAUCCCGUGAACCAUCGAGUUUUUGAACGCAAGUUGCGCCCGAAGCCUUUUGGCCGAGGGCACGUCUGCCUGGGCGUCACGCAUCGCGUCGCCCCCCACAAUUCUCCGUAAAGGGAACGUGUGUUUUGGGGGCGGAUAUUGGUCUCCCGUGCUCAUGGCGUGGUUGGCCGAAAUAGGAGUCCUUUCGAUGGACGCACGAACUAGUGGUGGUCGUAAAAACCCUCGUCUUUUGUUUCGUGCUGUUGCUCGCAAGGUAAACUCUUUAAAAACCCCAAUGUGUCGUCUCUUGACGACGCUUCGACCGCGACCCCAGGUCAGGCGGGACUACCCGCUGAGUUUAAGCAUAUCAAUAAGCGGAGGA
rnacentral:misc_RNA from 1 species